rnacentral:rRNA from 1 species
UACGUAGGGUGCGAGCGUUAAUCGGAAUUACUGGGCGUAAAGGGUGCGCAGGCGGUCUCGUAAGCUGGGUGUGAAAGCCCCGGGCUUAACCUGGGAACGGCAUUCAGGACUGCGAGGCUAGAGUGCGGCAGAGGGAGGUGGAAUUCCACGUGUAGCAGUGAAAUGCGUAGAGAUGUGGAGGAACACCGAUGGCGAAGGCAGCCUCCUGGGCCAGCACUGACGCUCAUGCACGAAAGCGUGGGGAGCAAACAGG